rnacentral:sRNA from 1 species
ACCCAAAAAAGACCAAUGUGAUCUGUGC